GGGGUUAGCAAGGCCAUUUUAAUAAAAAUGGGUCCUUUUUUGGAAUUUGGCCGUCGUACACGGCGGUCACUGCCGUCGCCGGCCGGCGGCCAUGGCGGACGGACGGUGGCCUUUGGGGCCGGAGGAAAAGAAAGGGGGGACAGUAUUGAGAGAGUAUUUUUGUUUUUUUUUCCUGAAGAGUGGAAUAGAAUGAAUUUUUUUUCUAAAAAAUUGGAGUUUUAUACCCCUCUUCAACGGCGCCGUUUAGGGCUUGGCACCAUAGCUCCAAAACGACGUCGUUUAGCCUUAAGACCCAAAGACCCGACCCGCUUACAUGGGAUCCGCACGUUUUCUGAUGCGAG
rnacentral:lncRNA from 1 species